UACGAAGGGGGCUAGCGUUGCUCGGAAUCACUGGGCGUAAAGCGCACGUAGGCGGAUUGUUAAGUCAGGGGUGAAAUCCUGGAGCUCAACUCCAGAACUGCCUUUGAUACUGGCGAUCUUGAGUCCGGGAGAGGUGAGUGGAACUGCGAGUGUAGAGGUGAAAUUCGUAGAUAUUCGCAAGAACACCAGUGGCGAAGGCGGCUCACUGGCUCGUAACUGACGCUCAUGCACGACAGCGUGGGGAUCAAACAGG
rnacentral:rRNA from 1 species